rnacentral:misc_RNA from 1 species
UGGAUUCCAUCUUCAGCAUUUUACUUGGUGGUGCUCUUGUUCAUGGAGAAAGUGGUACUUACUGUUCAUUCAAUUUGUGGUCUGCUAUAGGUGAUGAAUUGGACAAAAUUAAAGAACCUUUUUUGAGAGCUCUUUUGUCAUUGCUCAACACUCUGUUCAAAGAUCAUGUAUGGGAAGGAAACAAAGCUAUGAAACUUUUUGAGUUGCUCGUCAAUAAGCUUUACAUAGGUGAAGCAAUAAACCAGAAUUGUUUGAAGAUUCUUCCUCUGAUUGUCAGCAUUCUUGUUCAACCUCUAUGUAGGAGAAGCAUCGUACCUGGUGAAUCUAGUGGCGACGUUGAACUUAAUAAUUCAGGUGAAAAUUGGAUACAGGAUACCAUUAAAGAUUGGCUUCAAAGGAUUCUAUUGUUCCCGCCUAUUGUUUCAUGGCAAACAGGACAAGAUAUGGAAGAAUGGUUCCAGCUGGUUAUUGCUUGUUAUCCUUUUAGUGCAAUGGGCAGUACUAAAUCAUUGAAGCUGGAGAGAGACAUAAGCCUUGAAGAGAGAGAACUCAUACUUGAUUUAUUUCGAAAGCAGAGACACAAUGCUAGUGUCUUGGCAGCAGGUAAUCAGUUGCAAAUGGCACAGAUGGUGCUGUCAAAGUUAAUGGUUAUUUCUGUUGGUUAUUGCGGGAAAGAUUUUACUGAGGAAGACUGGGAGUUUUUCUUUUUGCAAUUGAGGUCUUGGAUUCAGUCAGCUGUUGUGAUUAUGGAGGAAGUUGCAGAAAAUGUGAAUGAUCUUAUCACUGACAACUCUAGUUCUGAAAUUUCGGAUGUUCUUAGGAAUCUUGAGCAGCUUGUUUGGAUCUCAGACCUUGGUCCUAUAAAUGUUGCUAUUAAUGCGCUAGCAUCGUUUUCUUUGUUUUGUGGGGUCUUGAGACAUCAACAACCAGAUAUGAAUCCAAACCCCCUG